ACUAUAGCUUCGCAGUGACAACCUUAAUCGAAUGUGUAGGAUAGAUGGGAGGUGGUGACAUAAUAUGACCAAUCCUGAAAUACCACUCUUUCGUAUAAGGAUGCCUAACCGCUUCAAUGAUCCUUCAGGGGGAGGCGGGACACUGCGAGGUGGGUAGUUUAUCUGGGGCAGAU
rfam:Solanum lycopersicum cultivar Heinz 1706 chromosome 10, whole genome shotgun sequence.